rnacentral:rRNA from 1 species
AGAGUUUGAUCCUGGCUCAGGACGAACGCUGGCGGCGUGCCUAAUACAUGCAAGUAGAACGCUGAAGGAGGAGCUUGCUCUUCUGGAUGAGUUGCGAACGGGUGAGUAACGCGUAGGUAACCUGCCUGGUAGCGGGGGAUAACUAUUGGAAACGAUAGCUAAUACCGCAUAAGAGUAGAUGUUGCAUGACAUUUGCUUAAAAGGUGCAAUUGCAUCACUACCAGAUGGACCUGCGUUGUAUUAGCUAGUUGGUGGGGUAACGGCUCACCAAGGCGACGAUACAUAGCCGACCUGAGAGGGUGAUCGGCCACACUGGGACUGAGACACGGCCCAGACUCCUACGGGAGGCAGCAGUAGGGAAUCUUCGGCAAUGGACGGAAGUCUGACCGAGCAACGCCGCGUGAGUGAAGAAGGUUUUCGGAUCGUAAAGCUCUGUUGUAAGAGAAGAACGAGUGUGAGAGUGGAAAGUUCACACUGUGACGGUAUCUUACCAGAAAGGGACGGCUAACUACGUGCCAGCAGCCGCGGUAAUACGUAGGUCCCGAGCGUUGUCCGGAUUUAUUGGGCGUAAAGCGAGCGCAGGCGGUUAGAUAAGUCUGAAGUUAAAGGCUGUGGCUUAACCAUAGUACGCUUUGGAAACUGUUUAACUUGAGUGCAAGAGGGGAGAGUGGAAUUCCAUGUGUAGCGGUGAAAUGCGUAGA